GCUGGAGGUAUCAGAAGUGCGAAUGCUGACAUGAGUAACGACAAUGCGAGUGAAAAACUCGCACGCCGAAAGACCAAGGGUUCCUGCGCAACGUUAAUCGACGCAGGGUGAGUCGGUCCCUAAGGCGAGGCUGAAGAGCGUAGUCGAUGGGAAACGGGUUAAUAUUCCCGUACUUCUAGUUACUGCGAUGGGGGGACGGAGAAGGCUAGGCCAGCAAGGCGUUGGUUGUCCUUGUUUAAGGUGGUAGGCAGAGAUCUUAGGUAAAUCCGGGAUCUUAAUGCCGAGAGCUGAUGACGAGCUUUCUUUUAGAAAGCGAAGUGGUUGAUGCCAUGCUUCCAGGAAAAGCCUCUAAGCUUCAGGUAACUAGGAACCGUACCCCAAACCGACACAGGUGGUUGGGUAGAGAAUACCAAGGCGCUUGAGAGAACUCGGGUGAAGGAACUAGGCAAAAUGGCACCGUAACUUCGGGAGAAGGUGCGCCGGUGAGGGUGAAGUAUUUACUACGUAAGCCCAUGCCGGUCGAAGAUACCAGGCCGCUGCGACUGUUUAUUAAAAACACAGCACUCUGCAAACACGAAAGUGGACGUAUAGGGUGUGACGCCUGCCCGGUGCCGGAAGGUUAAUUGAUGGGGUUAGCGCAAGCGAAGCUCUUGAUCGAAGCCCCGGUAAACGGCGGCCGUAACUAUAACGGUCCUAAGGUAGCGAAAUUCCUUGUCGGGUAAGUUCCGACCUGCACGAAUGGCGUAACGAUGGCGGCGCUGUCUCCACCCGAGACUCAGUGAAAUUGAAAUCGCUGUGAAGAUGCAGUGUAUCCGCGGCUAGACGGAAAGACCCCGUGAACCUUUACUAUAGCUUUGCACUGGACUUUGAGCUUGCUUGUGUAGGAUAGGUGGGAGGCUUUGAAGCGUGGACGCCAGUUCGCGUGGAGCCAUCCUUGAAAUACCACCCUGGCAACCUUGAGGUUCUAACUCUGGUCCGUUAUCCGGAUCGAGGACAGUGUAUGGUGGGUAGUUUGACUGGGGCGGUCUCCUCCUAAAGAGUAACGGAGGAGUACGAAGGUGCGCUCAGACCGGUCGGAAAUCGGUCGCAGAGUAUAAAGGCAAAAGCGCGCUUGACUGCGAGACAGACACGUCGAGCAGGUACGAAAGUAGGUCUUAGUGAUCCGGUGGUUCUGUAUGGAAGGGCCAUCGCUCAACGGAUAAAAGGUACUCCGGGGAUAACAGGCUGAUACCGCCCAAGAGUUCAUAUCGACGGCGGUGUUUGGCACCUCGAUGUCGGCUCAUCACAUCCUGGGGCUGAAGCCGGUCCCAAGGGUAUGGCUGUUCGCCAUUUAAAGUGGUACGCGAGCUGGGUUUAGAACGUCGUGAGACAGUUCGGUCCCUAUCUGCCGUGGACGUUUGAGAUUUGAGAGGGGCUGCUCCUAGUACGAGAGGACCGGAGUGGACGAACCUCUGGUGUUCCGGUUGUCACGCCAGUGGCAUUGCCGGGUAGCUACGUUCGGAAGAGAUAACCGCUGAAAGCAUCUAAGCGGGAAACUUGCCUCAAGAUGAGAUCUCACUGGAGCCUUGAGCUCCCUAAAGGGCCGUCGAAGACUACGACGUUGAUAGGUUGGGUGUGUAAGCGCUGUGAGGCGUUGAGCUAACCAAUACUAAUUGCCCGUGAGGCUUGACCAUAUAACACCCAAACAAUU
rnacentral:rRNA from 1 species